CUGUCAAUAGCAAGCAGCCAUCGCCGAGCACCGCAGUGCAACAAAACGGCCGAGGCGGUGCAGCGUAGUCGAAGAAAUCGGCCAGGAUGGUGACUCCAGUGGUGGGGAGGCCGUCUCGCAGGUGGUCAUCAGCAAGGCCAAGCUCUCCGCCAGUCUCGACCUGGUUAAUUUGGAGAGCUAGUGGAUUGUGAGUUGAUUACAUAUCGUAUAUCAACUCAGAUGACUGUGAUCUCUGUGUCCAUUCUGCUGCAAAAGAGGCUCAUAAAUCAAAGUUCGUCAAUCCUUAUGGGCACCACUGAUUAGAGCCACGAUGUUAAGAAUAAGAAGAUUAAAUCAUGCGUCACUUGAUGUGAUAUUAUCUUGGAAAAUUGAGCCAAGUUGGUACGGUUAGCGAUCAGUACCAUUGUAAUGAGAACCUUCCGGGACGAUGCGUAUCUGGACAACCUUCUAAAACCCUCUGAACAAUUUGAGUUCUCAAAGUAGGUGUUUGUGCUGAAAUUUUCCAUGCUCUUGCAUCUGUGCAUACUAAGAUGAUUAUGUCCGUGUUUCACGAAGACUUACUCAUUUGAGAUCAAUGACUAACAGAUCCUGGUUUAAAUUUAGGUCCAAUUACUUCAAAUCCUCAACGAUCAUAUGUCGGUCGUGUACUCUGUUGUUCUGCUGCAGGCGGAUAAUGUUCUCUCAGGUUAUCUUACUCUUGUUAAAGCAAAUACAAGCUUAAUACUUGAACUAGGAGGGCUGCAAACCAGCUCAGUUUGAAGGUUGUUUAGAAGAAAUAAAUGCUCCUACGUGUCUAGCUGUCUUGUUAAAUAAGACAAUAAAUUACUAGGUAUUUUAGUUAUUUAUGAGCGUUGCGAUGUGAGGCUAUUCAGAUAGCUACUUCUGCAGCUGGAACAUUGAUCAGUCACAACUCGGGUUUAAGUCCGCAUUCUGCCAAAAAAAAGAAAGGAGGAUCUAAACCACACAUGGUUUGCGCACUAGAUUUGUCCCCCCACCUGUUGAUGGAGCUAAGUGCAGAUGCGUAAUUUAUUGGAGCUAUGCACAUGGUUUCAAUGCAUACCGCAGCGACAAUAUCCACCAUCCCAGUCUCUGCACAAGACUUUUUUGUUACCAUCACAAUGUGCCUUAACGCCCCAGCAUCUUUUACCUUGUGCGGCUUAUAGGUCCUGCAUCACAAGCCACACUACGAAGGAACCGGAUUUAUUAGAAACGCUUGAUUGGAUCUGAUAACCAAGUGGAGAUGAUUGCGGUUGGGAUUGGAGCUUGGAGCCCAUUAAUUAACUUAACAAUUACAUUGCUACCUUCAGUGGGAUUAGCUGCGGUGGUCACAAAAAUGGAGUAUAUGCCACUUCGUGAUCUGGUGACUUGGAUAGUUUAUUUUUGGAAAAUGACAUGACUUACGUUGAGAGA